CACGUAGGGGGCAAGCGUUGUCCGGAAUCAUUGGGCGUAAAGAGCUCGUAGGCGGCUCGGUAAGUCGGGUGUGAAACCCCUAGGCUCAACCUAGGGACGCCACCCGAUACUGCUGUGGCUAGAGUCCAGUAGGGGAGUGUGGAAUUCCCGGUGUAGCGGUGAAAUGCGCAGAUAUCGGGAGGAACACCAGCGGCGAAGGCGGCACUCUGGGCUGGUACUGACGCUGAGGAGCGAAAGCGUGGGGAGCGAACAGG
rnacentral:rRNA from 1 species